rnacentral:rRNA from 1 species
GGCUCCUUCAGCCUGAGGUAGAAUUGUUGUAGUUAAAACGCUCGUAGUUGGAUUUUGUAAGAGUUUUGUGUGUGUAGGUUGCGUAUAUAUUCGUAUAUUCGUGAUUCUUCAUGCCACUUUUAUACUGAUUGUGGAUAAUUUUCGGAUUAUUUGCAAUAUUACUGUGAGAAAAAGAGUGCGCUUAAGGGCGGCUUUAUGCUAAGAUCAUUUAGCAUGGAAUAAACAUAACGGACUUUGGUUUUGUUAUGUGUUGGUUCAAUAUCAAGUCAUGAUUGAUAAGGAUGGUUUGGGGAUGUUCGUAUUUAUACUCGAGGGGUGAAAUCUUUUGACAGUAUAAGGACGAUCUUUAGCAAAAGCAUUCAUCAAUUCCAUACCUUUUA